rnacentral:rRNA from 1 species
AUUGAACGCUGGCGGCAGGCCUAACACAUGCAAGUCGAACGGUAACAGGAAGCAGCUUGCUUUUUUGCUGACGAGUGGCGGACGGGUGAGUAAUGUCUGGGAAACUGCCUGAUGGAGGGGGAUAACUACUGGAAACGGUAGCUAAUACCGCAUAACGUCGCAAGACCAAAGAGGGGGACCUUCGGGCCUCUUGCCAUCGGAUGUGCCCAGAUGGGAUUAGCUAGUAGGUGGGGUAACGGCUCACCUAGGCGACGAUCCCUAGCUGGUCUGAGAGGAUGACCAGCCACACUGGAACUGAGACACGGUCCAGACUCCUACGGGAGGCAGCAGUGGGGAAUAUUGCACAAUGGGCGCAAGCCUGAUGCAGCCAUGCCGCGUGUAUGAAGAAGGCCUACGGGUUGUAAAGUACUUUCAGCGGGGAGGAAGGGAGUAAAGUUA